rnacentral:rRNA from 1 species
GAUGAACGCUAGCGGCAGGCCUAACACAUGCAAGUCGAGGGGCAGCACAGAAACAGCAAUGUUUUGGUGGCGACCGGCGGACGGGUGCGUAACGCGUAUGCAACCUACCUUUAACAGGGGGAUAACGGAGAGAACUUUCCACUAAUACCCCAUAACAUCGAUCAAGGCAUCUUGAUUGGUUGAAAACUCCGGUGGUUAAAGAUGGGCAUGCGUUGUAUUAGGUAGUUGGUGAGGUAAUGGCUCACCAAGCCUACGAUACAUAGGGGGACUGAGAGGUUAGCCCCCCACACUGGUACUGAGACACGGACCAGACUCCUACGGGAGGCAGCAGUGAGGAAGAUUGGUCAAUGGGGGCAACCCUGAACCAGCCAUGCCGCGUGCAGGAAGACGGCUCUAUGAGUUGUAAACUGCUUUUAAACAGGGAUAAAGCACAGUAUGUAUACUGUGUUGAAGGUACUGUAAGAAUAAGGAUCGGCUAACUCCGUGCCAGCCGCCGCAGUAA